GAAGAACCAUGUCUACACGUUUCUUAAAUACCUCCAGGGAUGGUGACUCCACCACCUCCCUGGGCAGCCCAUUCCAAUGCUGGAUAACCCUUUCAGUAAAGAAAUGUUUCCUAAUAUCCAACCUGAACUUCCCCUGGCGCAACUUGAAGCCGUUACCCCUUGUCCUAUCAUCUGUAACUUGGGAGAAGAGACCGACCCCCGUCUCUCUACAGCCUCCUUUCAGGUACUUGUACAGAGCGAUAAGGUCUCCCCUCAGUCUCCUCUUCCCCAGACUGAACAACCCCAGUUCCCUCAGCCUCUCCUCGUAAGACUUGUGCUCCAGACCCCUCACCAGCUUCGUUGCCCUUCUCUGGACCCGCUCCAGCACCUCAAUGUCCCUCUUGUGGUAGGGGGCCCAAAAUUGGACACAGUACUCGAGGUGGGGCCUCACCAGUGCCGAGUACAGGGGGACGAUCACCUCUCGGGCUCUACUCGCCACACUGUUCUUGAUACAGGCCAGGAUGCUGUUGGCCUUCUUGGCCACCUGGGCACACUGCUGGCUCAUGUUCAGCCGACAGUCGACCAACACCCCCAGGUCCUUUUCUGCCAGGCAGCUCUCCAGCCACUCUGCCCCCAGCCUGUAGCGCUGCUUGGGGUUGUUGUGACCGAAGUGCAGGACCUGGCACUUGGCCUUGUUAAACCUCAUCCCAUUGGUCUCGGCCCAUCGAUCCAGCCUGUCGAGAUCUCUCUGCAGAGCCUCUCUACCCUCCAGCAGAUCAACACUGCCACCCAGCUUGGUGUCGUCUGCGAACUGACUGAGGGUGCACUCGAUCCCCUCGUCCAGAUCAUUGAUAAAGAUGUUAAAGAGAAUUGGCCCCAGUACUGAGCCCUGUGGGACACCACUCGUGACUGGACGCCAGCUGGAUUUAGCUCCAUUCACCACCACUCUCUGGGUCCGUCCCUCCAGCCAGUUUUUAACCCAGCAGAGGGUAUUCCCAUCCAAGCCAUGGGCAGACAGUUUCUCCAGGAGGAUACUGUGGGAGACUGUAUCAAAGGCUUUGCUGAAGUCCAGAUAAACAACAUCCACAGCCUUUCCUUCAUCCAGCAAGUAAACACAUCUUUCGCUCAAAUGAAUUUUUCUCAAAUAUAAAUGAAAGACUCGG
rnacentral:lncRNA from 1 species